rnacentral:rRNA from 1 species
CCUACGGGGGGCUGCAGUGGGGAAUAUUGGACAAUGGGCGCAAGCCUGAUCCAGCCAUGCCGCGUGUGUGAAGAAGGCCUUCGGGUUGUAAAGCACUUUCAGUGGGGAAGAAAGCCUUGGGGCUAAUACCCUCGAGGAAGGACAUCACCCACAGAAGAAGCACCGGCUAACUCCGUGCCAGCAGCCGCGGUAAUACGGAGGGUGCGAGCGUUAAUCGGAAUUACUGGGCGUAAAGCGCGCGUAGGCGGUCUGAUAAGCCGGUUGUGAAAGCCCCGGGCUCAACCUGGGAACGGCAUCCGGAACUGUCAGGCUAGAGUGCAGGAGAGGAAGGUAGAAUUCCCGGUGUAGCGGUGAAAUGCGUAGAGAUCGGGAGGAAUACCAGUGGCGAAGGCGGCCUUCUGGACUGACACUGACGCUGAGGUGCGAAAGCGUGGGUAGCAAACAGGAUUAGAUACCCUGGUAGUC